rnacentral:rRNA from 1 species
UACAGAGGGUGCGAGCGUUAAUCGGAAUUACUGGGCGUAAAGCGCACGUAGGCGGCUUGGUAUGUCGGGUGUGAAAUCCCCGGGCUCAACCUGGGAACUGCAUCCGAAACUGCCUUGCUCGAGUAUGGGAGAGGGAAGUGGAAUUUCCGGUGUAGCGGUGAAAUGCGUAGAUAUCGGAAGGAACAUCAGUGGCGAAGGCGACUUCCUGGACCAAUACUGACGCUCAUGCACGAAAGCGUGGGGAGCAAACAGG